rnacentral:rRNA from 1 species
CAAGUGAAAUCUUGUGGGAAUCAACCGGUACCAUCCGGUAAGGCUAAAUACUCCUGAGAGACCGAUAGUGAACCAGUACCGUGAGGGAAAGGUGAAAAGAACCGGGAAUACCGGAGUGAAAAGAACCUGAAACCGUGUGCUUACAAGCAGUCAGAGGGCUUUUGUGGCCUGAUGGCGUGCCUUUUGCAUAAUUAGCCUACGAGUUACUCC